AUGAGAGGUUUAUAGAAGCUUCUGGAUGGAAGAGAAUGACUGACAGGGAAACUGGGUCAACUAGGUCUUGUUCUGAUGGGUGGGGCCAUGCUCAGUAAAACUUUAAUCCAAUUUUCUGUUGAUGGGUGGGGCUGUGUUUCCUCCCUGUUAUUUACCUGGGGCCAAACUACGGUGAGGCAACAAAGAUAAUGGUGACCUCCUUCAAAAUGUCCCAUGCACACACUGCUACAGUCAGUGCUCCCAACCCUGAAGCAGGCUGCCGCCAACCAACGACUCUGCCAGACAGUCCUGGACACUCACAGGCAAGUCAAGAUGAGGAAAUGAGGGAUCAAUAAGAUUGUCCAAGGUCACAUAUAUCACUACCGGUUGGAAAGAAGUGCGGCUAGGCAUUGAAAGAUGGAGAAAGUGAAAAAGACGAAGAAAGGAAUGCAAGACAUUUCAAGGAAUGUUGCCUGCUCUUUGUGACUUAAAACAACUGAAGCCACAUCCUCCUUCGUCAGCAGCUUUGCUGUUUUUCUUAAGAAAUGUCAGGUCUAACAACCACAUUAAGGUACAUUCCCCACCAUCGGAGUCACCAGAAAAGACCUGUGUGUCCUGGAGACAAGAUAGCAAAGGGUAAACAGAGGUAAAAGAGAAACUCAGCAGGACGUUUGUGCCUCUCAGUGGCAGAUCAGAAUGGCAGAUACCUACAGCCAAACCAGGAA
rnacentral:lncRNA from 1 species